rnacentral:rRNA from 1 species
UACAGAGGGUGCUAGCGUUGUUCGGAAUCAUUGGGCGUAAAGGGCGUGUAGGCGGUUUGUUAAGUCAUGUGUGAAAUCCCCGGGCUCAACCCGGGAACUGCGUCCGAUACUGGAAGGCUUGAAUCCGGGAGAGGGAUGCGGAAUUCCAGGUGUAGCGGUGAAAUGCGUAGAUAUCUGGAGGAACACCGGUGGCGAAGGCGGCAUCCUGGACCGGUAUUGACGCUGAGGCGCGAAAGCCAGGGGAGCAAACGGG